rnacentral:rRNA from 1 species
GACGAACGCUGGCGGUGUGCUUAACACAUGCAAGUCGAACGGUAAGGCCCUUUCGGGGGUACACGAGUGGCGAACGGGUGAGUAACACGUGAGUAACCUGCCCUCAUCUCUGGGAUAACAGUCGGAAACGGUUGCUAAUACUGGAUAUGAGCCUGCAAGGCAUCUUGUGGGUUGGAAAGAUUUUUUGGUUGGGGAUGGACUCGCGACCUAUCAGCUUGUUGGUGAGGUAGUGGCUCACCAAGGCUUCGACGGGUAGCCGGCCUGAGAGGGCGACCGGCCACAUUGGGACUGAGAUACGGCCCAAACUCCUACGGGAGGCAACAGUGGGGAAUAUUGCACAAUGGACGGAAGUCUGAUGCAGCAACGCCGCGUGCGGGAUGACGGCCUUCGGGUUGUAAACCGCUUUCAAUUGUGACGAAGCUUUUUGUGACGGUAGCAGUAGAAGAAGCACCGGCUAACUACGUG